CGCGCAGGCGGCUGGCCAAGUCCGAUGUGAAAGCUUCCGGCUUAACUGGAAAAUUGCAUCGGAAACUGGUCGGCUUGAAGGUGGGAGAGGGUAGCGGAAUUCCCGGUGUAGUGGUGAAAUGCGUAGAUAUCGGGAGGAACACCAGUGGCGAAGGCGGCUACCUGGCCCAUUCUUGACGCUGAGGCGCGAAAGCUAGGGGAGCGAACG
rnacentral:rRNA from 1 species